rnacentral:rRNA from 1 species
UACAGAGGUCCCAAGCGUUGUUCGGAUUCACUGGGCGUAAAGGGUGCGUAGGUGGCCAGGUAAGUCUGAUUUGAAAUCUCGGAGCUCAACUCCGAAACUGCAUUGGAUACUAUCUGGCUCGAGGAUCGGAGGGGAGACUGGAAUUCUUGGUGUAGCAGUGAAAUGCGUAGAUAUCAAGAGGAACACCAGUGGCGAAGGCGA